AGUUUGAUCAUGGCUCAGAGCGAACGUUAGCGGCGGGCCUAACACAUGCAAGUCGAACGCGAAAGGUCUUCGGACUGAGUAGAGUGGCGCACGGGUGAGUAACACGUAGGUAAUCUACCCUUUGGCGGGGGAUAACGUUCCGAAAGGAGCGCUAAUACCGCAUAAGACCACGGAGUCUCCGGACGCUGUGGGAAAAGGUGGCCUCUUCUUGAAAGCUACCACCGAAGGAUGAGCCUGCGUCCCAUCAGCUAGUUGGUAAGGUAAUGGCUUACCAAGGCGAAGACGGGUAGCUGGUUUGAGAGAAUGAUCAGCCACACUGGCACUGGAACACGGGCCAGACUCCUACGGGAGGCAGCAGUGAGGAAUAUUGCACAAUGGAGGAAACUCUGAUGCAGCAACGCCGCGUGGAGGAUGACGCAUUUCGGUGUGUAAACUCCUUUUAUAAGGGAAGAUAAUGACGGUACCUUAUGAAUAAGCACCGGCUAACUCCGUG
rnacentral:rRNA from 1 species